AAGCAUCAACAUUCACAGAACACUGUUAACUAAAUGUAACAGGUAUUUUUGUAAAGGGACUUUUAUUUUGAUGAGUUGCCCCAUUUUCGGUAUGUUAGCGGGAGGUGCAAAGAUGUCUGGGAAGAAGGAGAAAAGAGAGCAGUUUUUACGAGAGAAAGACACGCCAUGAUUGCUGUGUGGGAAAUCAGCAGUUUUUCAACGGAAAACGUGAAAGAAGAUAGUAUACAGUUCAUCUCAGUUUUUGUGAGUUAAACGAACAUUAACGCCAUCGUCGUCUGAGACUGGAAACGGAGCUGGUGCAGAAGUUCGGCUCAUUGCGUCAUCGAACAGCGUGAGAGACUGGCUGAGAGCACGAGAGUUAGUUGCUGGAGCCGUGAGUUUCUUCCUGAACGCUGUUGUUUUGCAUCUUUCGAACUGUAUGUAUUUUUGAGAGUUUUUCUGCGUGCCCGAGUCAUUAAUGAGCUGUGCUUUAGACUGAGAGACGUUAAUUUCUUCCUGUCAAUCAAGUGCACUUGUUAGAAAUGAACUGGAAGUGAGUUUUUUUCCACAGUGUUUUUUUCUUUUUCGCUCUCUCUCUGAGUAUUUUUGCAUUUUUGUAGAGACUGUCCAUUGCCUAAGAUCGGUUUUGCUUUUGGGAAACUUUUUUUUAUUAUUAUUAUUAUUUUUUUUCCUUAUUGAGACUGAGUCAGUGCGUGCUGUGGCAGAGCUGCGCCAUUUUGUUCCAGGAAAUUCCAGGGUUUUUUUUGGCCAUUUGCUAGUUUUUAUAAUUAUUACCCUGCCAUCCUGACCACAUCUCCUUACUUUCCUGUCCCAGCUGUUCAUUUCUUUAUUACAGGUCAUCUCAAGUCAUCGCAAGUAAUUUCUUCAAUUUCAUCAUCGCUAAAGACUGGUACAACGUUCAUUGCACAUAUACAUACAUGAACUCUUACUGAUAUAGACUGAACUGAGAACUUGAACUAGGUAACUGAACUGGGUUUGAUGUGAAAAUUUAAUCAUCUGUCGAAUCACAAGAGUCAUUUCAGAGUUCAUUUGAGCUAAGUCAAGUUAUUUCUGAGUUUAUUUGAAGUGAAUCAUUUGUGAACUGAUUGUUAUUCCAGAGGUGAACACAAGUUUUAUGGUUAAACAGUUGGUGGUGCACCACGGGUAAAGAUUAUAGUGACAACUUUAUUUGAGUAACAUUGUUUUAUUUGUUUUUUUACAUUUUUCAUGUAUUGUUCUGAUCCUCUUUUCCUGCUCUGCAAAAGAAAAAAAGACAUUUUAAAAGGAGAUAAUUAAAUCUGAUUAAAUGUUAAAGUAAAUCUCAAGAGUACUAUCAUUGUUGAACUUACCUUGGAGUAGGGGCGUCUCACUUGCUCUGUUAAGGUGAACACAAGUUUUAUGGUUAAACAGUUGGUGGUGCACCACGGGUAAAGAUUAUAGUGACAACUUUAUUUGAGUUAACAUUGUUUUAUUUGUUUUUUUACUAUUUUUUCAUGUAUUGUUCUGAUCCUCUUUUCCUGCUCUGCAAAAGAAAAAAAGACAUUUUAAAAGGAGAUAAUUAAAUCUGAUUAAAUGUUAAAGUAAAUCUCAAGAGUACUAUCAUUGUUGAACUUACCUUGGAGUAGGGGCGUCUCACUUGCUCUGUUAGGUACUGGGGUGGUGGGAAUGUGAAUUGGUAUUGUUAAAUUGCCUCACAUAUUUACACUUCAGACGGCCACCAAAUUAAUACAAGUAUUUGUAGACUUAACUGAAGCCACACUCUCUGGUCCCUUUAGUAUAUUAUACAACAGAGUAAGGUAACACAUAUACAUAACCUAUACCUUGAGACUCAAAGCACUGAGGUGGGGGACCAAGAUCCUUUCCUCCUAAAGUCUUCCGAGGUAACAUUAAUUUCCCCUACUAAGCGGGCCCUAACGCACCCGUUACAUAAAGCAAGUGGCUGUUGCAUGCCUGGUUUGGAUGGCAGAAUGCCAGCAAAGAGCGCUGCAUUUAUAAUCUCUAAAACACAUCUCAGUUCAUGGCAUUUCACAGAUUUCUGUUAUAACACAAUAAAUAUAUGCAUAAUGAAUCUUUC
rnacentral:lncRNA from 1 species